ACGAGUUCCGACCACCGUGUGUUUUUAUCGUGUUCAUAACAAAAUGAAGUAUUACGUAGUAGUCGCUUUAUCCAUAGCUUUAAUACAGUUAGCAAAAUGUGAAUACUUUGGAGACGAUGCAGAUUUAUUCAGUUACGAUGAAAUUGAAGACAGAAUUGAUGAUUCACCGAAACCUAUAUACAAUUUAGCAGAUGCUGCGUACUGGUUCAAAAAGUUUAUAAAAGACUUUAACAAGUCGUACAAAAAUGAUGAAGAUUAUAAUACACAUUACAAGAACUUCGUGGAGAAUUUGAAGGAAAUCAACAGGAUAAACAGUGAUAAGGAAUACAGUUCGACGUCUGACAUCAACUUGUUCUCAGACCUUUCGGUUGAAGAAAGGCUGCUUAUACUUGGAGUGCCUGCUUGACUUACGAGAAUGCUGUUACCAUCCGGCUACGUUCAAAGAAAAGAUGCAAAACUACUACGCAAUAAAGAAUGAUGUUACCUAGAUCUAGAA